CUUCAGCUUACGUGCCCCAAAUAGGACGAAACGCGCGUCCUAGAU
rnacentral:hammerhead_ribozyme from 1 species